AUUUAUAUAAUAUAAAUAUUAUAUUUGAUUUCCAAUCAGAAAAUCUAAUUAAUUUAGUAUAAAUA
rnacentral:tRNA from 1 species